CCUACGGGAGACAGCAGUGAGGAAUAUUGGUCAAUGGGCGGAAGCCUGAACCAGCCAAGUAGCGUGCGGGAUGAAGGCCCUACGGGUCGUAAACCGCUUUUGCACGGGGAUAACACCCUCCACGUGUGGAGGUCUGCAGGUACCGUGCGAAUAAGGGCCGGCUAAUUCCGUGCCAGCAGCCGCGGUAAUACGGAAGGCCCGAGCGUUAUCCGGAUUCAUUGGGCUUAAAGGGAGCGUAGGCGGGCGUUCAAGUCAGCUGUAAAAUCGCGCGGCUCCACCGCGCCCCGCAGUUGAAACUGGCCGCCUUGCGUUCCCCACAGGCAGGCGGACUUCGUGGUGUAGCGGUGACCUGCCUAGCUCUCACGAGGCACCCCGAUUGCGAAGGCAGCCUGCCGGGGUGCGACUGACGCUGAGGCUCGAAGGUGCGGGUAUCAAACCGGAUUAGAUACCCCAGUCGUC
rnacentral:rRNA from 1 species